GCAUGUGUAACUCAGUUGGUAGAGUAUCGGUCUUUUAAACCGGCGGUCCUGGGUUCGAUUCCCAGUACAUGCA
rfam:Oleiphilus sp. HI0009 HI0009_c60, whole genome shotgun sequence.